rnacentral:rRNA from 1 species
CGGAAUUACUGGGCGUAAAGGGCGCGCAGGCGGCCAAAUAAGUCUGACGUGAAAGCUCCUGGCUUAACUGGGAGAGGUCGUUGGAAACUGUAUGGCUUGAGUCAAUGAGAGGGGUGCGGAAUUCCCGGUGUAGUGGUGGAAUGCGUAGAUAUCGGGAGGAACACCAGUGGCGAAAGCGGCACCCUGGCAUUGGACUGACGCUGAAGUGCGAAAGCGUGGGGAGCGAACGGGAUUAGAUACCCCGGUAGUCCACGCUGUAAACGAUGAACACUAGGUGUGGGUAGUGUCAAAGCUAUCUGUGCCGAAGCCAACGCGAUAAGUGUUCCGCCUGGGGAGUACGGCCGCAAGGCUAAAACUCAAAGGAAUUGACGGGGGCCCGCACAAGCAGCGGAGCGUGUGGUUUAAUUCGAUGCAACGCGAAGAACCUUACCUGGGCUUGACAUGUACGUAGUAGUGAAGCGAAAGUGGAACGACCCUUCGGGGAGCGUACACAGGUGCUGCAUGGCUGUCGUCAGCUCGUGUCGUGAGAUGUUGGGUUAAGUCCCGCAACGAGCGCAACCCUCGUCGCUAGUUACAAGUGUCUAGCGAGACUGCCGGUAUCAAGCUGGAGGAAGGUGGGGAUGACGUCAAGUCAGCAUGGCCUUUAUGUCCAGGGCGACACACACGCUACAAUGGGCGGUACAACGGGAAGCGAAGGGGCGACCUGGAGCGAAUCCCAGCAAAGCCGUUCGUAGUACGGAUUGUAGGCUGCAACUCGCCUACAUGAAGCCGGAGUUGCUAGUAACCGCAGGUCAG